GUGCACUUUCGUUUCAGGCGAACGCAUUGAAGAGUAUAGACGUAAGUAGAAGAGGUGUUCGGUGUUCCCAAAUUCCCAACAGACUACUAAAGUCCACACGGACGUAUGCGGUGAUUGGUCGUUAUCGUCAUCUGAUUUUGACAUAGACAUUGGGAUUUUGAUGAAUUUUUGUGGUUAUGUAUAUUAAGUAUAUUUUUUGUCUGAUUCUGAUCGACACUUUCUUGUUUUUGAAAAAUUUGUUCAAGAAUGGAAAUAAUGAAGACGUGGAAAGAUAUGCAGAAAAUUGAGACAAGUUAUGUAAGGUCUAGAACAGUUCACACAAAGAAACAAGAUGAUUUAUACUAGGAGUAUAAUCAAUGUCAUGCUAUGAGUGUAACAGAAGUAACAUAAUAUAGCUAGGAGAGUAUAUUAUAUUCAUUGAUGGAUAUAAGCCCAACUAUAAAAUUAGGACAGAAAUCUGGUCCAUUAAUUGUCCCUCCAGACUGAUUUGCAAACAGAGAUCAAGGACAGGUUUCGGUCAGUUAUGUAUUGGAAAACACAUUCUGGACAUAAAGAAGAAUUAAGAACCAUGCAUCUGUCAAAAAUACAAGAAAAAAAAUGGUUGUAGAGUAAUUAAUGACUGAGGUGCCACCUAGUAUGUGAAGAAUGUGAAGGUACAUGAGCAAUAUCAGAUGAUGCUGGAAGGUGUUUGGAAGAAACUUCAAUUAUCAAAUCAAGGCAUGAGGAGGAAAUAAAUGAGUUAAUGAGUCAGAGAGGAAGCUAGAACUGACAAUUGUGAUCAAGGAAAACACCAAAAGAAGUAUUGUAAUUCAAAGAACAAUGGAAUAAUUUUAGAAAAAGGUAAAGAAAUUACAAA
rnacentral:lncRNA from 1 species